rnacentral:rRNA from 1 species
UGGGGAAUUUUGCACAAUGGGGGAAACCCUGAUGCAGCGACGCCGCGUGAUUUAGAAGGCCUUCGGGUUGUAAAAAUCUUUUCUAUGGGAAGAAGAUGACAGUACCAUAGGAAUAAGGACCGGCUAAUUACGUGCCAGCAGCCGCGGUAAUACGUAAGGUCCGAGCGUUGUCCGGAAUCAUUGGGCGUAAAGGGUACGUAGGCGGGUAAGCAAGUUAGAAGUGAAAUCCUAUAGCUCAACUAUAGUAAGCUUUUAAAACUGCUCAUCUUGAGGUAUGGAAGGGAAAGUGGAAUUCCUAGUGUAGCGGUGAAAUGCGCAGAUAUUAGCAGGAAUACCGGUGGCGAAGGCGACUUUCUGGCCAUAACCUGACGCUGAGGUACGAAAGCGUGGGUAGCAAACAGG